rnacentral:rRNA from 1 species
GUGGGGAAUCUUGCGCAAUGGGCGAAAGCCUGACGCAGCCAUGCCGCGUGGAUGAUGAAGGUCUUAGGAUUGUAAAAUCCUUUCACCGGUGAAGAUAAUGACUGUAGCCGGAGAAGAAGCCCCGGCUAACUUCGUGCCAGCAGCCGCGGUAAUACGAAGGGGGCUAGCGUUGCUCGGAUUUACUGGGCGUAAAGGGCGCGUAGGCGGACAUUUAAGUCAGGGGUGAAAUCCCGGGGCUCAACCUCGGAACUGCCUUUGAUACUGGGUGUCUUGAGUAUGAGAGAGGUGUGUGGAACUCCGAGUGUAGAGGUGAAAUUCGUAGAUAUUCGGAAGAACACCAGUGGCGAAGGCGACACACUGGCCCAUUACUGACGCUGAGGCGCGAAAGCGUGGGGAUCAAACAGGAUUAGAUACCCCUGUAGUCC